rnacentral:rRNA from 1 species
GAGAGUUAAACAGUACGUGAAAUUGUUGAAAGGGAAACGAUUGAAGCCAGUCGUACCUUCGGGUAAUCAGCCUUUCGGGUGCGAUUCUGUGGAGUUUGAGGAGCUUAACACCUUCAUGCUUUGCAUAUUCGUGCUCUUGGGUGUACUUGCCCGUGUGGUUGGUUAACAUCAAUUUCGGGCACCAUAAAAUGGCUGGAGGAAUGUAGCUUCGAUCUUGUAUUGAAGUGUUAUAGCCUUCGGUAGAUGUGGUGAUCGAGAUUGAGGAUUGCAACGGAUACCUUUCGGGGCUACCUGUCUGAUCUCUGAUCGUUGUUUUGGUGCUGAAAGCGUGCUUAUAGUUAUCAAAGUCGAUGGUCAAUAGGUUAGAAUGGGUUAAAUUCGUUAAGGAUGUUGACGUAAUGGCUUUAAACGA